rnacentral:rRNA from 1 species
UGAACGCUGGCGGCGUGCCUAAUACAUGCAAGUCGAGCGAACAGACGAGGAGCUUGCUCCUCUGACGUUAGCGGCGGACGGGUGAGUAACACGUGGAUAACCUACCUAUAAGACUGGGAUAACUUCGGGAAACCGGAGCUAAUACCGGAUAAUAUAUUGAACCGCAUGGUUCAAUAGUGAAAGACGGUUUUGCUGUCACUUAUAGAUGGAUCCGCGCCGCAUUAGCUAGUUGGUAAGGUAACGGCUUACCAAGGCAACGAUGCGUAGCCGACCUGAGAGGGUGAUCGGCCACACUGGAACUGAGACACGGUCCAGACUCCUACGGGAGGCAGCAGUAGGGAAUCUUCCGCAAAGGGCGAAAGCCUGACGGAGCAACGCCGCGUGAGUGAUGAAGGUCUUCGGAUCGUAAAACUCUGUUAUUAGGGAAGAACAAAUGUGUAAGUAACUAUGCACGUCUUGACGGUACCUAAUCAGAAAGCCACGGCUAACUACGUG